rnacentral:rRNA from 1 species
GGAUUAGAUACCCGGGUAGUCCACGCCGUAAACGAUGAGAACUAGUUAUUGGAGGUAUUGACUCCUCCAGUGACGCAGCUAACGCAUUAAGUUCUCCGCCUGGGAAGUACGGCCGCAAGGCUAAAACUCAAAGAAAUUGACGGGGGCCCGCACAAGCGGUGGAUUAUGUGGUUUAAUUCGAAGCAACGCGCAGAACCUUACCUAGGCUUGAACUCCUUCGAACUCGACGUAAUGGUUGAGGUGCCCGCAAGGGAAUGAAGUGAGAGGUGCUGCAUGGCUGUCGUCAGCUCGUGUUGUGAAAUGUUGGGUUAAGUCUCGCAACGAGCGCAACCCCUAUCGUCUGUUGCCAGCAUUAAGUUGGGCACUCUGACGAGACUGCCUGGGUUAACCAGGA